rnacentral:rRNA from 1 species
CUACGGGAGGCAGCAGUGGGGAAUUUUGGACAAUGGGGGGAACCCUGAUCCAGCCAUGCCGCGUGUCUGAAGAAGGCCUUCGGGUUGUAAAGGACUUUUGUUAGGGAAGAAAAGCCGGGUGUUAAUACCAGGUGCUGACGGUACCUAAAGAAUAAGCACCGGCUAACUACGUGCCAGCAGCCGCGGUAAUACGUAGGGUGCGAGCGUUAAUCGGAAUUACUGGGCGUAAAGCGAGCGCAGACGGUUAAUUAAGUCAGAUGUGAAAUCCCCGAGCUCAACUUGGGACGUGCAUUUGAAACUGGUUAACUAGAGUGUGUCAGAGGGAGGUAGAAUUCCACGUGUAGCANUGAAAUGCGUANAGAUGUGGAGGAAUACCGAUGGCGAAGGCAGCCUCCUGGGAUAACACUGACGUUCAUGCUCGAAAGCGUGGGUAGCAAACAGGAUUANAUACCCUGGUAGUCCACGCCCUAAACGAUGACAAUUANCUGUUGGGACACUAAAUGUCUUAAUANCGAANCUAACNCGUGAAAUUGUCCCCCUGGGGAGUACGGUCCCAAAAUUAAANCUCAAAGAANUUGACNGGGAACCCCACAANCNGUG